AGAGUUUGAUCCUGGCUCAGAACGAACGCUGGCGGCAGGCCUAACACAUGCAAGUCGAGCGAGGUAGCAAUACCUAGCGGCGGACGGGUGAGUAACGCGUGGGAACGUACCUUUUGCUACGGAAUAGCCCUGGGAAACUGGGAGUAAUACCGUAUACGCCCUGAGGGGGAAAGAUUUAUCGGCAAAAGAUCGGCCCGCGUUGGAUUAGGGAGUUGGUGGGGUAAUGGCCUACCAAGCCGACGAGCCAGAGCUGGUUUGAGAGGAUGAGCAGCCACACUGGGACUGAGACACGGCCCAGACGCCGACGGGAGGCAGCAGUGGGG
rnacentral:rRNA from 1 species